rnacentral:rRNA from 1 species
UCCGGUUGAUCCUGCCGGAGGCCACUGCUAUCGGGGUUUGACUAAGCCAUGCGAGUCGAGAGGUUCAAGACCUCGGCGUACUGCUCAGUAACACGUGGACAAUCUGCCCUGAAGUGGAGGAUAAUCCCGGGAAACUGGGGGUAAUACUCCAUAGUUCGUGAUGACUGGAAUGUUUUGCGAACGAAAGAUCCGUCGCUUCAGGAUGAGUCUGCGGCCGAUUAGGUAGUUGUUGGGGUAACGGCCCAACAAGCCUGUCAUCGGUACGGGUUGUGGGAGCAAGAGCCCGGAGAUGGAUUCUGAGACACGAAUCCAGGCCCUACGGGGCGCAGCAGGCGCGAAAACUUUACCAUGCGGGCAACCGUGAUAAGGAAACCCCGAGUGCCAGCACAGGCUGGCUGUCCGCCAGUGUAAAUAACUGGUGAAGAAAGGGCCGGGCAAGACCGGUGCCAGCCGCCGCGGUAAUACCGGCGGCUCGAGUGGUGGCCACUAUUACUGGGCUUAAAGGGUCCGUAGCUGGAUAUACAAGUCUCUUGAGAAAUCCGCCGGCUUAACCGGUGGGCGUUCAGGGGAAACUGUAUUUCUAGGGACCGGGAGAGGUGAGAGGUACUGCCGGGGUAGGAGUGAAAUCCUGUAAUCCCGGUGGGACCACCUAUGGCGAAGGCAUCUCACCCGAACGGGUCCGACAGUGAGGGACGAAAGCUGGGGGAGCAAACCGGAUUAGAUACCCGGGUAGUCCCAGCUGUAAACGAUGCGCGUUAGGUGUGUCAGUGACCACGUGUCACUGAGGUGCCGAAGGGAAACCGUGAAACGCGCCGCCUGGGGAGUACGGUCGCAAGGCUGAAACUUAAAGGAAUUGGCGGGGGAGCACCACAACGGGUGGAGCCUGCGGUUUAAUUGGAUUCAACGCCGGG